rnacentral:lncRNA from 1 species
AAGCACUGCUACUUGAAUAACCAAACCUAUGCCCAAAUCCCAUCUUUGUGGGGCUAUCUCCUGGUACUCUUCCUAGCAUUUUUCUCUUUGUCAGAGUCCAAUCAGGAGACAUAAAUCACUUAAAUACAAACUGGUAACAUUUAAUGAAGCUGAGAGUGCUGAGGGCACAUCUGAAACCACUGGAGGUUGGCGACAUGGAGGUCAGAACUGAAGAAUUUGGAAGUGCUCAAAUUUUUAAAUAACCAGAUCGAGGAGCUGCCAACACAGAUCAGCAGGCUUCAAAAACUCAAACACCUGAACCUUGGCCACCCUGUGUGCACUCUAUCUAAGUGACAACGGUUUUGAAAUCCUGCCACCAGAUAUUGGGAAGCUCACAAAGUUGCAGAUAGUAACUCAGCAAUAGGGAUAAAGACCUGAUCUCACUGCUUAAGGAAAUUGGGGAGCUUACCCAGCUUAAAGAGCUCCACAUUCAGAGGAACCGCCUCACUGUUCUACGCCCAGAACUAGAUAAUUUUGCCUUUGGAGAAGAGAAGAAAAUCACAUUGGUCUGCUCGGAAUGCAACAAAACAAAGUGUUAUUGACACCAAAACCUUAUUUGCACCAAUCCAAACAGCCUAUGGGACAUAUGUCUGCAAUGCUGCACACACCUGGGGCUAGCCAGCUUAGUGCCCUACGAUAUGUGCCAAUAAUCGAUAGCAUUUUUUACUACAGUAAUUAUGAGAAGCAUAGUAUUUUCUAGCAUGCUUGUGAAGAGUGGAAACAAAUAUUAAUCCCCUUCAGAGAGUAAAGGACAUUAUGAAUUGAGAAUUUCCUCCCAAUUUAUUCUCCAGAAUGAACAGAAUUAACAGUGAGUGGAUGUACGUCCAAAAUUUCUUCUGUUAUAUCUCUUAAUCCUUUUCCUGCGGACAUCGAGAAACUAAAGAAAAAUAACUUUCUUUACUGAGGCAGGCAAGAAGGAAAUCCAGUAUUCUUUGUUUGAUCAAUUAAGUCUCUGUAAGUGUCUCA